rnacentral:rRNA from 1 species
AAUAGAUACCCCGGUAGUCCACGCCGUAAACGAUGAGUGCUAAGUGUUAGAGGGUUUCCGCCCUUUAGUGCUGCAGCUAACGCAUUAAGCACUCCGCCUGGGGAGUACGGCCGCAAGGCUGAAACUCAAAGGAAUUGACGGGGGGCCCGCACAAGCGGUGGAGCAUGUGGUUUAAUUCGAAGCAACGCGAAGAACCUUACCAGGUCUUGACAUCCUCUGACCUCCCUGGAGACAGGGCCUUCCCCCUUCGGGGGACAGAGUGACAGGUGGUGCAUGGUUGUCGUCAGCUCGUGUCGUGAGAUGUUGGGUUAAGUCCCGCAACGAGCGCAACCCUUCGACCUUAGUUGCCAGCAUUCAGUUGGGCACUCUAAGGUGACUGCCGGUGACAAACCGGAGGAAGGUGGGGAGUGACGUCAAAUCAUCAUGCCCCUUAUGACCUGGGCUACACACGUGCUACAAUGGAUGGUACAAAGGGCUGCGAGACCGCGAGGUUAAGCCAAUCCCAGAAAACCAUUCCCAGUUCGGAUUGCAGGCUGCAACCCG